UACGUAGGGUGCAAGCGUUGUCCGGAAUUAUUGGGCGUAAAGAGCUCGUAGGCGGUUUGUCGCGUCUGCUGUGAAAACUCGGGGCUUAACCCCGGGCCUGCAGUGGGUACGGGCAGACUAGAGUGCGGUAGGGGAGACUGGAAUUCCUGGUGUAGCGGUGAAAUGCGCAGAUAUCAGGAGGAACACCAGUUGGCGAAGGCAGGCUCGUGGACGUAACUGACGCUGAGACGACGAAGCGUGGGGAGCAAACAGG
rnacentral:rRNA from 1 species